rnacentral:rRNA from 1 species
AGUGAACGCUGGCGGUAGGCCUAACACAUGCAAGUCGAACGGCAGCACAGUAAUAGCUUGCUCUUACGGGUGGCGAGUGGCGGACGGGUGAGGAAUACAUCGGAAUCUACUUUUUCGUGGGGGAUAACGUAGGGAAACUUACGCUAAUACCGCAUACGACCUACGGGUGAAAGCAGGGGAUCUUCGGACCUUGCGCGAUUGAAUGAGCCGAUGUCGGAUUAGCUAGUUGGCGGGGUAAAGGCCCACCAAGGCGACGAUCCGUAGCUGGUCUGAGAGGAUGAUCAGCCACACUGGAACUGAGACACGGUCCAGACUCCUACGGGAGGCAGCAGUGGGGAAUAUUGGACAAUGGGCGAAAGCCUGAUCCAGCCAUACCGCGUGGGUGAAGAAGGCCUUCGGGUUGUAAAGCCCUUUUGUUGGGAAAGAAAAGCAGCAGGUUAAUACCCCGCUGUUCUGACGGUACCCAAAGAAUAAGCACCGGCUAACUUCGUG